AACGAACGCUGGCGGCAUGCCUAACACAUGCCAGUCGAACGAGACCUUCGGGUCUAGUGGCGCACGGGUGCGUAACGCGUGGGAACCUGCCCUUAGGUUCGGAAUAACUCCCCGAAAGGGGUGCUAAUACCGGAUAAUGUCUUCGGACCAAAGAUUUAUCGCCUUUGGAUGGGCCCGCGUUGGAUUAGCUAGUUGGUAGGGUAAAAGCCUACCAAGGCGACGAUCCAUAGCUGGUAUGAGAGGAUGAUCAGCCACACUGGGACUGAGACACGGCCCAGACUCCUACGGGAGGCAGCAGUGGGGAAUAUUGGACAAUGGGCGAAAGCCUGAUCCAGCAAUGCCGCGUGAGUGAUGAAGGCCUUAGGGUUGUAAAGCUCUUUUACCCGGGAUGAUAAUGACAGUACCGGGAGAAUAAGCUCCGGCUACCUCCGU
rnacentral:rRNA from 1 species